rnacentral:lncRNA from 1 species
AUACAAUUUCAUGGAACUUGCAACUUAAUUGCAAAGUUCAGUUUUGCUCCAAUGGGAAUCCGACGCCGAUGCCGAUGUCGAUGCCGAUGGAUGGCCCGUUGUUGUUUCUGUUGCUAUAAUUAAGAUUGUGGACUGUUGUCGCCGAUGUCUAGGCUUUUCAUCAACAACAAACACAAGCAGCGGCAACAGGCAGAGGCAGCGGCAGCGGCAGAGGCAGAGGCAGAGCCCAGAGCCAGCAACAGAGGCUGAGGCUGAGGCUGAGCCAUCACCUCCUCCACGCUUCUGGGUCAAUAAUCUGCGUCUGAGCUGGAUUGUUGUUGGCGCCCGCCUGCCGCACAUGUCAAUCAAUGGAGAUCCAAUUUUAGCACAAGUAAACAAUAUUUGCCCGAUCGAGCGGGAGGCAAAAGUGGAAGUCAGCUCAGUGGGGCCUCCCACAAGUGGGCGGGCGGCUUAUCGCCCACUGGCGCUGGGGCAUGGAUAGAGGAAAAAAACCAAAGGAGCUGCACUGCCGCACUGCCGCACUGCCACACUGCUGCGUUGCUUUGAUG